ACAGUGGACGCGAGCAUCUUUUUUGUCGCUUUAGUGUUCAAGUUUUUAAGGGCACACGGUGGAUGCCUUGGCAUCAGGAGCCGAUGAAGGACGUGGGAGCCUGCGAUAUGCCUCGGGGAGUCGGCAACCAGACUUUGAUCCGGGGAUUUCCGAAUGGGGUAACCUGGCACUCGUCAUGGGGUGUCGCCGCCGUCUGAAUGUAUAGGGCGGUUGGUGGGAACGCGGGGAAGUGAAACAUCUCAGUACCCGCAGGAAGAGAAAACAAUUGUGAUUCCCUGAGUAGUGGUGAGCGAAAGGGGAUGAGGCUAAACCGUGCACGUGUGAUAGCCGGCAGGUGUUGCGUGUGCGGGGUUGUGGGACGGUUCUUGCCUGAGCUGCCGUUUGGGCGGGGAGUAAGAAAUCACGUGUGUAGUCGAAUGGUCUGGGAAGGCCGACCGUAGACGGUGAGAGUCCGGUAGGCGAAACGCAUGUGACUCCUUUGGAUUGUUCCCGAGUAGCACGGGGCCCGUGAAAUCUCGUGUGAAUCUGCCAGGACCACCUGGUAAGCCUAAAUACUUCCUGAUGACCGAUAGCGGACCAGUACCGUGAGGGAAAGGUGAAAAGUGCCCCGGUGAGGGGUCGUGAAAUAGUACCUGAAACCGUGUGCCUACAAGCCGUGGGAGCUAGCAACACUUUGUGUUGUGUGAUGUGACUGCGUGCCUUUUGAAGAAUGAGCCUGCGAGUUAUGGUGUGUGGCGAGGUUAACCCGUGUGGGGUAGCCGUAGCGAAAGCGAGUCUGAAUAGGGCGCCCGGAGUCGCAUGCUGUAGACCCGAAGCGGAGUGAUCUAGCCAUGGGCAGGGUGAAGCGCCGGUAAGACGGUGUGGAGGCCCGAACCCACCAGGGUUGAAAACCUGGGGGAUGACCUGUGGUUAGGGGUGAAAGGCCAAUCAAACUCCGUGAUAGCUGGUUCUCCCCGAAAUGCAUUUAGGUGCAGCGUUGCGUGUUUCUUGCCGGAGGUAGAGCUACUGGAUGGCCUAGGGGGCCUACAAGCUUACUGAAGUCAGCCAAACUCCGAAUGCCGGUAAGUGAAGCGUGGCAGUGAGACUGCGGGGGAUAAGCUUCGUAGUCGAGAGGGAAACAGCCCAGAUCAUCGGCUAAGGCCCCUAAGCGUGUGCUAAGUGGGAAAGGAUGUGGAGUUGCGAUGACAACCAGGAGGUUGGCUUAGAAGCAGCCAUCCUUGAAAGAGUGCGUAAUAGCUCACUGGUCAAGUGAUUCCGCGCCGAUAAUGUAGCGGGGCUCAAGCACACCGCCGAAGCCGUGGCAUCCCAGCAUUACCCAGGCAUCACUUGUGGUGUCCAGGGGUUGGGGUGGGUAGGGGAGCGUCGUGUGGGCGGUGAAGCAGCAGCGUGAGCUAGUUGUGGAGGCCACACGAGUGAGAAUGCAGGCAUGAGUAGCGAAUGCAGGGUGAGAAACCCUGCCGCCGGAUGACCAAGGGUUCCUGGGCCAGGCUAAUCCGCCCAGGGUAAGUCGGGACCUAAGGCGAGGCCGACAGGCGUAGUCGAUGGACAACGGGUUGAUAUUCCCGUACCCGUGAUCAUGCGCCCAUGCUGAACCUGCUGAUACUAAGAUCGUUAAGCUGUGGUGUUCCUCUUCGGAGGUCGCUGUGGUGGCGUGGUCGGCCUGAGGUGGUAGUAGGCAAGCGAUGGGGUGACGCAGGAGGGUAGCUCAGCCCAGGCGAUGGUUGUCCUGGGGUAAGCACGUAGGGCGCAUCAUAGGUAAAUCCGUGGUGCUUUAAGCCUGAGGUGUGAUGCCGAGCCGUUUUAGGUGAAGUGAGUGAUCCCAUGCUGCCGAGAAAAGCCUCUAGUGAGUGUGAUUGCGGCCCGUACCCCAAACCGACUCAGGUGGUCAGGUAGAGAAUACUAAGGCGAUCGGGUGAACUGUGGUUAAGGAACUCGGCAAAUUGCCCCCGUAACUUUGGGAGAAGGGGGGCCAUUCCUGGUGAGCGCACUUGCUGUGUGAGCUGGGGGUGGUCGCAGAUACCAGGGGGAAGCGACUGUUUACUAAAAACACAGGUCCGUGCGAAGUCGUAAGACGCUGUAUACGGACUGACGCCUGCCCGGUGCCGGAACGUUAAGAGGACCGGUUAGGGACCCUUUGGGUUUCGAGGCUGAGAAUCUAAGCGCCGGUAAACGGCGGUGGUAACUAUAACCAUCCUAAGGUAGCGAAAUUCCUUGUCGGGUAAGUUCCGACCUGCACGAAUGGCGUAACGACUUCCCCACUGUCUCAACCACAGGCCCGGCGAAAUUGCAUUACGAGUAAAGAUGCUCGUUACGCGCAGCAGGACGGAAAGACCCCGGGACCUUCACUAUAGCUUGGCAUUGGCGUUUGGAGCGUCUUGUGUAGGAUAGGUGGGAGACUGUGAAACCUCAACGCCAGUUGGGGUGGAGUCAUUGGUGAAAUACCACUCUGGUCGUUUCGGGCUUCUAACCCGGGCCCAUGAUCUGGGUCGGGGACAGUGCCUGGUGGGUAGUUUAACUGGGGCGGUUGCCUCCUAAAAGGUAACGGAGGCGCCCAAAGGUUCCCUCAGCCUGGUUGGCAAUCAGGUGUUGAGUGCAAGGGCACAAGGGAGCUUGACUGUGAGACAGACAUGUCGAGCAGGUGCGAAAGCAGGGCCUAGUGAUCCGGCGGUGGCAUGUGGAAGCGCCGUCGCUCAACGGCUAAAAGGUACCCCGGGGAUAACAGGCUGAUCUUCCCCAAGAGUCCAUAUCGACGGGAUGGUUUGGCACCUCGAUGUCGGCUCGUCGCAUCCUGGGGCUGGAGUAGGUCCCAAGGGUUGGGCUGUUCGCCCAUUAAAGCGGCACGCGAGCUGGGUUUAGAACGUCGCGAGACAGUUCGGUCCCUAUCCGCUGCGCGCGUAGGAGACUUGAGAGGAUCUGUCCCUAGUACGAGAGGACCGGGACGGACGAACCUCUGGUGUGCCAGUUGUCCUGCCAAGGGCACGGCUGGUUGGCUACGUUCGGACGGGAUAACCGCUGAAAGCAUCUAAGCGGGAAGCCUUCCUCAAGAUGAGGUCUCCCUCCCCUCUUCGGAGGGGGUAAGGCCCCCAGCUAGACCACUGGGUUGAUAGGCCAGAUAUGGAAGCAUCGUAAGGUGUGGAGUUGACUGGUACUAAUAGGCCGAGUGGCUUGAACACACC
rnacentral:rRNA from 1 species